GUGCUUAACACAUGCAGUCGAGCGGUANGGCCCUUCGGGGUACACGAGCGGCGAACGGGUGAGUAACACGUGAGCAACCUGCCCCUGACUCCGGGAUAAGCGGUGGAAACGCCGUCUAAUACCGGAUACGACCCGCCACCUCAUGGUGGAGGGUGGAAAGUUUUUCGGUCAGGGAUGGGCUCGCGGCCUAUCAGCUUGUUGGUGGGGUAACGGCCUACCAAGGCGAUUACGGGUAGCCGGCCUGAGAGGGCGACCGGCCACACUGGGACUGAGACACGGCCCAGACUCCUGCGGGAGGCAGCAGUGGGGAAUAUUGCGCAAUGGGCGAAAGCCUGACGCAGCGACGCCGCGUGGGGGAUGACGGCCUUCGGGUUGUAAACCUCUUUUACCACCAACGCAGGCCCGGAGUUUUCUUCGGGUUGACGGUAGGUGGGGAAUAAGGACCGGCUAACUACGUGCCAGCAGCCGCGGUAAUACGUAGGGUCCGAGCGUUGUCCGGAAUUAUUGGGCGUAAAGAGCUCGUAGGCGGCGUGUCGCGUCUGCUGUGAAAGACCGGGGCUUAACUCCGGUUCUGCAGUGGAUACGGGCAUGCUAGAGGUAGGUAGGGGAGACUGGAAUUCCUGGUGUAGCGGUGAAAUGCGCAGAUAUCAGGAGGAACACCGGUGGCGAAGGCGGGUCUCUGGGCCUUACCUGACGCUGAGGAGCGAAAGCAUGGGGAGCGAACAGGAUUAGAUACCCUGGUAGUCCAUGCCGUAAACGUUGGGCGCUAGGUGUGGGGACUUUCCACGGUUUCCGCGCCGUAGCUAACGCAUUAAGCGCCCCGCCUGGGGAGUACGGCCGCAAGGCUAAAACUCAAAGGAAUUGACGGGGGCCCGCACAAGCGGCGGACCAUGUUGCUUAAUUC
rnacentral:rRNA from 1 species